ensembl:ncRNA F49C5.15 ncRNA
AAAAAGAAACUGAAGAGAGUGGGAUUCGAACCCACGCCCCCGAAGGGACUGGUGCCUUAAACCAGCGCCUUGGACCGCUCGGCCAUCUCUCCACAUUUU